UCGACGCGCAAGAAGAAACUGUAUGCUGCUCUCUUCAUUUUGUUAGUUUUAAGUCUCAUAGCCUUUCGUGCAUCAAGUACUUUGCCUGUUGAUGUCUGUAACGUCGAAGCUGGUCCAGUAGUUAAAUGGUUAAUGAGUAGUGAAUUCGUCGAAAGUUUUUGUCAUCUCUAGUGAACAGAAGAGUUAUAAUAUUUUCUUACAACCUGUCCCCAGUACAAAUCCAUCGAUCUGUUGACAGAAUUGGAAAAUUUUUCAGGGUUGCCAAUGAAAAGUGAGAGCUGUGGUAAUGUCUUUUAGGAGAUAUACACCAUUUGUCAC